UGACCAAAACACCAAAAGCAUUGGCAGCAAGCGCCAAAGUGGACAUAUGGGAUGUAAUCGAACUCCACAACUUCUGCACGGCAAAGGAAACAGUCCUGAGAGUGAAGCGGGAACCAACAGAAUGGGAAAAAAAUUUUGUAGUCUACCCAUCUGACAAAGGGCUGAUGUCCAGAGUUUACAAAGAACUAGAACAGAUUUACAAGAAAAAACCAAAUAAGCCCAUUCAAAGGUGGGCGAAGGAUAUGAAAAGACACUUUACACAAU